rnacentral:lncRNA from 1 species
CUUCUUGAUUGCCAAGCAUUCUGUCUGAGGUCCCACCCUGGGGCCUUUGCUCAGCUGUUCUGCUAGCUGAAAGUCUCCUCCUUUACAUGCAAAGACCCCCCAACUGGAUGACAAGCUCCUAGAAGAAAAGGAAACCUACAGGUUGCAGAAGAAAAUGGCUGGUGGAAAUGCAGAGGGAAGAAUAACGUGGUUCUGAAACGAGGCUGGAGUGCAGUGGUGAGAUCUCGAGGCUUGCUGCAACCUUCACCUCCCAGGUUCAAGUGAUUCUCCUGCCUCAGCCUCCAGAGUGGCUGGGACUACAGGCCCAGGUAAUUUUUGUAUUUUUAGUAGAGAUGGGGUUUCACCACGUUGACCUCAUGAUC